rnacentral:rRNA from 1 species
UAGGGAAUCUUCGGCAAUGGACGGAAGUCUGACCGAGCAACGCCGCGUGAGUGAAGAAGGUUUUCGGAUCGUAAAGCUCUGUUGUAAGAGAAGAACGAGUAUGAGAGUGGAAAGUUCACACUGUGACGGUAUCUUACCAGAAAGGGACGGCUAACUACGUGCCAGCAGCCGCGGUAAUACGUAGGUCCCGAGCGUUGUCCGGAUUUAUUGGGCGUAAAGCGAGCGCAGGCGGUUAGAUAAGUCUGAAGUUAAAGGCUGUGGCUUAACCAUAGUACGCUUUGGAAACUGUUUAACUUGAGUGCAAGAGGGGAGAGUGGAAUUCCAUGUGUAGCGGUGAAAUGCGUAGAUAUAUGGAGGAACACCGGUGGCGAAAGCGGCUCUCUGGCUUGUAACUGACGCUGAGGCUCGAAAGCGUGGGGAGCAAACAGGAUUAGAUACCCUGGUAGUCCACGCCGUAAACGAUGAGUGCUAGGUGUUAGACCCUUUCCGGGGUUUAGUGCCGCAGCUAACGCAUUAAGCACUCCGCCUGGGGAGUACGACCGCAAGGUUG